rnacentral:tRNA from 1 species
AAACGAUGAUUACUCACGAUGAGUGUCCACACAGAUUGAUAUGGUUUAAAUUCAGAGCAAAAAGUUGGUUCUGCAUAAAGUGCUGAAGCAAUUUAUGUGGGGCUAUAGCUCAGCUGGGAGAGCGCUUCGCUGGCAGCGAAGAGGUCAUCGGUUCGAUCCCGAUUAGCUCCACCACUGACUUCCUAUGUCCCGUUCGUCUAGAGGCCUAGGACACCGCCCUUUCACGGCGGUAACAGGGGUUCGACUCCCCUACGGGAUACCAUCUUUAAGCACAUUUUUUUUGAUAAGAAAGUAUUAAGUGUUCUUAAAAAUGGUUACUUCAUUAGAAGUGAUUAGCUCUUUAACAAUUUGGAAAGCUGACAAAACAACAAUUUAUUGUUGUUUGUAAAGUUCUCAAUGUUUGUCCUUAAGACAAACACCAAAAUAACACAUUCAAGUGUUCUUGGAAUUUGAGUCCGGCAAAAUCGAGUCUGCAUCAUGUAUAAAAAUUGCAGACAACUUUGGUGACUUGUUCAUCAACUCGAAACUCCUUCGGGUUGUAU